CGCGUAGGCGGAUUGGAAAGUUGGGGUGAAAUCCCGGGGCUCAACCCCGGAACUGCCUCCAAAACUCCCAGUCUAGAGUUCGAGAGAGGUGAGUGGAAUUCCGAGUGUAGAGGUGAAAUUCGUAGAUAUUCGGAGGAACACCAGUGGCGAAGGCGGCUCACUGGCUCGAUACUGACGCUGAGGUGCGAAAGCGUGGGGAGCAAACA
rnacentral:rRNA from 1 species